rnacentral:rRNA from 1 species
CUGGCUCAGAACGAACGCUGGCGGCAGGCUUAACACAUGCAAGUCGAGCGCCCCCGCAAGGGGAGCGGCAGACGGGUGAGUAACGCGUGGGAAUCUACCCAUCCCUACGGAACAACUCCGGGAAACUGGAGCUAAUACCGUAUACGCCCUUCGGGGAAGAUUAUCGGGGAGUGGAUGAGCCCGCGUUGGAUUAGCUAGUUGGUGGGGUAAGUGGCCUACCAAGGCGACGAUCCAUAGCUGGUCUGAGAGGAUGAUCAGCCACACUGGGACUGAGACACGGCCCCAGACUCCUACGGGAGGCAGCAGUGGGGAAUAUUGGACAAUGGGCGAAAGCCUGAUCCAGCCAUGCCGCGUGAGUGAUGAAGGCCCCUAGGGUUGUAAAAGCUCUUCAACGGUGAAGAUAAUGACGGUAACCGUAGAAGAAGCCCCGGCGUAACUUCGUGCCAGCAGCCGCGGUAAUACGAAGGGGCUAGCGUUGUUCGGAAUUACUGGG